rnacentral:rRNA from 1 species
AAUCCAGGUCAGGCGUGAUUAUCCAAUGAGUUUUAGAAUAUCAAUAAGUGGAGCAAAGAAACUUACAAAGGAUUCCCUUAGUAAUGGCGAGCAAACCAAAAAUAGCGCAGCGUUAGAAUCUGGUGGCUCCAUCAUCUGAAUUAUAGUCUAGAGAAGCGUCCUCACCGAUGGACUGGGACCAUGGCCCCUAGAAGGGGGUAAGAGAGAGGGUGAGAGCCCCAUUGUGCCUGGACCCUGUAGCACCAUGAGGUUCUAUCUACGAGUCAUGUUGUUUGGUAAUGCAACCCAAAUCAAGUGCUGAAUUCUGUCUAAGGCUAAAUAUGGGUGAGAGAUAGAUAGCAAAUAAGUAGAGCGAGGGAAAGAUGAAAUGGACUUUGACAAGAGAGUCAAAGAGUACUUGAAAUUGUUGGGAGGUAAGUGAAUAGGGGCCGGCGAUGCACCCUGGUCGAAUAUGGAAUAACGAUGAGCCGGUUCACUGAUCGACUCGGUGUAUUGAUCGACCUGGAUUGGGGUUGGCAAAAGCCCAGGAUCUCGAUAAGCUCAUAGAAUGUCGUCUCCUUGAUUAUGGAAUGCAACACGCACCUCUAACAUGCUUUCACAUCUGCACCCUCCAAAUACUGGCAUGUGUGCUCCCUAUUUGAACCAUCUUGAAACAAGGACCAAGGAGUUUGACAUGUUUGCAAGUCAAUGAAUGAGUAAACCCUUAAGGUAUAAGGAAGAUGAUUGGUGGGAUCCCCUUGAGGGAUUAACCACUGACCGACUUUGAACUUCUGAGAAGGUUCGAGUCUGAGCAUACUUGUUGGGACCCAAAAGAUGAUGAACUAUGCUUGAGUAGAACGAAUCCAAAGAAAACUCUGGUGGAGGCCCGCAGUAAUACUGACGUUUAAAUUAUUCGUCUGACUUUUGUAUAGGGGUGAAAGACUAAUCGAACUGUCUAGUAGUUGGUUCCCUAUGAAGUUUCCCUCAAGAUAUAUGAAGCUGUGUGCGAGUUCUAUCGGGCAAAGCCAGUGAUUAGAGGCCUCGAGGGUCCAACACCCUUGACCUAUUCUCAAACUAUAAAUAGGCAGGACGGUGCAACUGCUUUGUUUAAUUGCGCCGCUGAAUCAAAAGCUCCAUGUGGGCCAUUUUUUGUAAGAAUAACUGAUGAUACGGGAUGAACCAAAAGUUGGGUUAGGUGCUAAACUGCAUGCUAACCUAGACACAACAAAGGGUGUUGGUCGAAUAAGAUAGUAGAACAAUGGUCAUGGAAUUUAAAAUCCUCUAAGGAGUGUGUAAAAACUCACCUCCUAAAUCAACUAAUCCUUAAAAAGAAUGGCACUUAAGCAAGCGACCGACACCCCGCCGUCCCGAUGAGUAGAAGGGUGUGAAGGUCACUGCAAAAACUUAGGCGCGAGCCUAGGCAUAACGACCAUUGUUGUAGAUCUUGGUGGUUGUAGAAAAAUAUUAAAAUGAGAACUUUGAGGGCUGAAGAAGGGAAAGGUUUCAUGUGAACGGAGUUUGCACAUGGGUUAGUUGAUCCUAAGAGUCGGGGGAGCUCUGACAGAUACAAUGUUAGAAAGUACGGAGACGUUAGUGAGAGCCUCAGAAAAAGUUAUCUUUUCUAUUUAACAGCCUACCCAUCCUGAAAUUGGCUCAGCAGGAGGUAGGGUCUAGCUGUUGGAAGAGCACCACACAUCACGUGGUGUCUGGUGUGCUCCUGGAGGCCCUUGAAAAUUCAAAGGACCAAAUGUCAUCAACGCCCGGUUAUACUCAUAACCCCAUCAGGUCUCCAAGUUGAACAACCUCUGGUCAAUGGAAUAAUGUAGGCAAGGAAAGUUGGCAAAAUGGAUUCGUAACUUCAAGAAAGGGAUUUUAUUUGAGGGCAGAGAACAAGGAUGAUACACCUAAUGAUUCUUUUCGAAAUACCGUGUUCACUAAGUAUUGUGAUUCUUAUUAGAUUGUUGAUCAAAGGUUCUUGAGUAAAAGAGGUCUUGAUUUAUGAUUUACAUUCUAAAUAAUUGUAACAGAGAUGUUCCAACUAAUGAUUCUUUUCGAAAGUAAUAAUUCAAUGAUAUUAAACAAACUAGAGUUAUGGUUACCAAGAUGCUUAAACAAUUUGGGCUGUGAAUCACUUUUGAGUUCCAAUUAAUAACUUCAAUUGAAAGAGUAGUUGAAUUCUAUUGUUUACCCAUUAGUUUCUCAACCUCAAUGGAUAGUUCAUCCUUUAAUUCUCUCAAAAUUAAAAACUGAAUUAAUUAUUCAACUAUUUUCUCAUGUAGGUCAAUCUUGUUAAGGCAUUUGCCGUUAAUUUAAAGGUUAAAGCCUUUAGAUUCCAUGUAAACCCUUUAUUUUUCAAACAAACACUUUUCUAUUCGAACAAGUGGUGUUCUUGGACUCGCUUUUAAAGUUUCCAACCAAGAAAAGUUUUUAAAGUGAAGAAGGGUUCAUGCAAUGUCAACUACCCAUGAAACUCAAUUAUAAUCAGAACCAAAUCAGUGUUUCACAUCAAGGAUCCUAUAAUCCUAGUUAUGAGAGCUUAGCUACACAUCUUCAUUGAAGAAAAAUAAAGAAUCUUCGUAUGAUUCCAAAAUUAAUUCAGUAUUCUCUUACAAAAGUUACAAGAUUUAGUUCUUGAACCUUCAAUAGAAAUGGAAUGAUUACAUCCACAAGUUUUGUUUAAUUCACAGACUGCUACAUUACAGAGGUUAAAAAAUGGAAAAUUCAGGUAACAAUAUCCAAGAUCCCAGAAAUAAAACCCUAACCGGGUAUUUUUAUGCUCCCAGGUAUAGAAGUUUUAAAAUUUAAACUCAGAAAAAGCCGCGUCCAAGUUGACGGUCUAAUUGACGGCCCAUCGAAGGCCUUACGGUCCAUCGCACAGGCCAUUAUUUGAUGUCCUUAAAUAUCA